UCCUCAGUAGCUCAGUUGGUUAGAGCACCUGACUGUUAAUCAGGGUGUCGUUGGUUCAAGUCCAGCUUGAGGAG
rnacentral:tRNA from 2 species